rnacentral:rRNA from 1 species
CUACGGGACGCACCAGUGGGGAAUAUUGCGCAAUGGGGGGAACCCUGACGCAGCAACGCCGCGUGAAGGACGAAGGUUUUCGGAUCGUAAACUUCUUUGAUUGGGGAAGAAUAAAUGACGGUACCCAAAAAACAAGCCACGGCUAACUACGUGCCAGCAGCCGCGGAAUAUGUAGGUGGCAAGCGUUGUCCGGAUUUACUGGGUGUAAAGGGCGUGUAGGCGGGGAGGCAAGUCAGAUGUGAAAUACCACGGCUCAACCGUGGGGGUGCAUCUGAAACUGCUUCUCUUGAGUGCUGGAGAGGAAAGCGGAAUUCCUAGUGUAGCGGUGAAAUGCGUAGAUAUUAGGAGGAACACCAGUGGCGAAGGCGGCUUUCUGGACAGUAACUGACGCUGAGGCGCGAAAGCGUGGGGAGCAAACAGGAUUAGAUACCCCCGUAGUC